rnacentral:rRNA from 1 species
GGUGGAGCAUGUGGUUUAAUUCGACGAUAAGCGAGGAACCUCACCAAGAUUUGACAUACAGCUGCAGACUCUGAGAAAUCAGAGAGCCUUCGAGGGUGCUGUACAGGUGCUGCAUGGUUGUCGUCAGCUCGUGUCGUGAGAUGUACCGUUAAGUCGGAAAACGAGCGCAACCCUUAUCCUAUGUUUUAUAUGUCAUAGGAAACUGCCCGCUUUAAGUGGGAGGAAGGUGGGGAUGACGUCAAAUCAGCAUGGUCCUUACAUCUUGGGCUACACACGUGCUACAAUGGGAAGUACAAAGGGACGCCAAACCGCAAGGUGGAGCUAAUCCCCCAAAACUUUUCUCAGUUCAGAUUGAGGUCUGAAAUUCGACCUCAUGAAGUCGGAAUCGCUAGUAAACGCGCAUCAGCCACGGCGCGUUGAAUACGUUCUCGGGUCUUGUACUCACCGCCCGUCAAGUCAGGGGAGCCGGCAAUACCCGAAGACCCCCUCUCAAGUUUUUGAUUAAGAUCAAAAAUUUUAGUGGGGGGCUAAGGUAGGGUUGGUAACAAAGACUAAGUCGUAACAAGGCAUCCGUAGCGGAAGCUGUGGAUGGAUCACCUCCUUUCUA